GACGUGUCCAAAUUCACACCCGGCCAACGUUGACGGGGAAGGCUGCUGAAAGGACGCAGUCAUCGAAUUUGGACAGUCUACUAUGGGAUUUUGGCUCCUUGGAGCCUGCAGAAUCUAGGGCGGCUCUGGAGCAUUUCAGCGUUUUGAGCGGCGCGGGCGCCGCGUUUUAACGCCGCUCGGUUCAGCAGCUUCUCCUCCAAUAGCUGUGGCUGUGACAGGUCACACCUGUGGUGUGGUCCAGCGGAGGUAAGGAUCAUAGAAACAGAUAAGUGUUAUCAAAGUGAAAUAUCGCGCCGGGAACACCUGCAGCCCCCCGUCUCAGGAGACUCACUCUUUCUUGGACUUGCCCUCUUCUCCCUCCUCUGCGGGGGCCCCUCCGUCCACCUUCUCGCCGUUCUCCGUGGGCUCUUCAUCGGCGGCUUUCUGGUCCUCCUCAG